UACGGAGGGUGCGAGCGUUACUCGGAAUUACUGGGCGUAAAGAGUGCGUAGGUGGUUGCGUGUGUUAGAUGUGAAAUCCAUGGGCUUAACCUGUGAAUUGCAUUUAAAACUGCGUGGCUAGAGUGUUGUAGAGGGUGGCGGAAUUUCCAGUGUAGCGGUGAAAUGCGUAGAUAUUGGAAGGAACACCAGUGGCGAAGGCGGCCACCUGGACAAACACUGACACUGAGGCACGAAAGCGUGGGUAGCGAACAGG
rnacentral:rRNA from 1 species